CUUUUCAAUCACUUUGACUUUGACUGGAGUUUUCACAGGAGAACCUGUGCUCAAUGGGGAUGACCUCCCUUCUAGUCGAGGCUUGGUUUUCACAGCAGUUACAGUAGUGACCACAGUCCCACAGGGCAUCACAGUUCGAUCCUUUUCUACCUUAGUGCUUGGCACUGGAGAAGAAGCUUGCCAAGUCUUUAACUCGCUAGGUUCAAUAAACAAGAACUCUGCAGUAAUGGAUC
rnacentral:lncRNA from 1 species